GAUGAAGAACGCAGCGAAAUGCGAUAAGUAAUGUGAAUUGCAGAGUUUUGUGAAUCAUCGAAUCUUUGAACGCACAUUGCGCCCCUUGGUAUUCCAUGGGGCAUGCCUGUUCGAGCGUCAUUUGUACCUUCAAGCUUUGCUUGGUGUUGGGUGUUUGUCUCGCCUUUGCGUGUAGACUCGCCUUAAAAUAAUUGGCAGCCGGCGUAUUGAUUUCGGAGCGCAGUACAUCUCGCGCUUUGCACUCAUAACGACAGCGUCCAAAAGUACAUUUUACACUCUUGACCUCGGAUCAGGUAGGGAUACCCGCUGAACUUAAGCAUAUCAAUAAGCGGAGGA
rnacentral:misc_RNA from 1 species